rnacentral:sRNA from 1 species
AUUCGUCCUUCCUCAGCCGCGGGUGCUCGUAGCUCGGAAAUGGCGGGUCUCCGUCUACCUUCCACUACAGUCAACUUCUGAGCUAGCGCAUUGCUGCCUUGCCCUGCUCUAGCGCUCCCACUUGGAUCUCGACUGACUUCGUAGUCGUCUGCUUAAUCUGUCACACUUUAGUAUUCCGAGGAUCGUAUUUAGAUGCCCUUUGAGAAAGACUUUGUUCCUGAACUCCUCCCUUCUCUUUUAGGGUUGGACUACUAUAAGACAAUUCUCUUGUGUGCAUUCUAGAGACCCUUCAAGUUACAACAUUUAAUAAUGUAUAAUUGCUAUUUGUACGUGUAUUAAGGCUGUUUUGGUGUGAUUAUUUUUUUCGAUUACUUAUCUUUUGAAGUUAUGGAGAGUUUCUUUUUCCUGAGACAGGGUCUCUCUGUCACCCAGGCUGGAGUGCAGCGAUCAUAGUUCCGGGCAGCCUCCAACUCCUCCUAGGCUCAAGCGAUCCUCUUGCCUCAGCCUCCCGAGUAGCUAGGACUACAGGCAUGCGCCACAACAUUCGGCUAAAAAAAAAAACAUUUUUUUUUAACCUUUUAGAGACAGGGUCUGGCUG